rnacentral:lncRNA from 1 species
GCUUCCCCGGUAUAUUAUAUAAGUUAUGCAUACAAAUAGCCAGUUCAACCCUAACAAUAGUGAUUGCGGUUCCUGGGGCUGAAAGAUUUCUCAGCGAAGGAGUUACAUGCAAUAUUGGCACAAGCUGUAUCACCCUCUCAGGUCCUAGAGCCCGAGAAGGAAGAUAUGGAGAACUAAAAGAAAGAAGAAGUAGGAGUUUUGACAAUGUACUAUUUUUAUUAGGGUGGAUUAAGUUAGUUUCACUAUUACGUAUGGAUACAUUUAUUUAUUUGUUUUAAAAAAUGUUGGGGGGGAGUUCAAAUCGCCUAGUUGGUGGCGGCAGUAUAGUCUGCCAUAAAACCCACAGAAGAAGAUGAGUGCGGUAGUGCCAGCAUUGGGUUUUGGUGUUAAAUAGACAGCUACGAAAAAUAUAGAUAAAAUCUCUUAGUAAAUAGUAUGCUCUACAGCUUAUCAUCCCUUACAAAAAAUGAUUGCAGAAACUGUAAUAGUGCAGUAAUUGCAGUCCACUGUGGUAUUUUGGAUGCAGUAAUUGCAAAAUUACUGCAGUAAAAACAAAACGGUUAUUCUGGACCCAGUAUUUGCAGCAUACUGCAGUUAUAUUGCACAAUGACUGCAAAAAAUGUUCCUAAGGGAUGAAGUAUUCAAACUCAGGCGAUCAGAACCUCCAGACUUAAUUUAGAACCGAUAGCGGCCGUUGAUGGUCUUUCUUUAAAUUACUGUCAUUACAUUACUAUAGCAGCCGUGAACGGCCUUGUUUUUCUAACAAUAAUAUGUGUGUCAAUAUCGCAAAAUUAACUUGCUAACAACCUGUAGUCGUAUUCGCGUGUCUGUUGUCAUCAACCGGAAACAGAGUAUGCUGUCAUUUGUCUUUUCAACGGUUUUUAAAUUAAUUCCUCAAAAUGACAGCGUUGAAGCAGACAUUGACUUUUCACUGUGAAAGAGGCUUUUAUCUAUGUUGGUUGGUGAUACAGAUUCGCACACGUCCUUGCACUUUGAAAAGCAAUGAUGUCGAGGUGAGUGAAAUAAGUAAACCGCAGAUAUGUGUUUGGUGCUGUCGAUGUUUGAUGCUGACUGUGAAAUUUGGAUAAUAGCUCAAAGAUUAGCAAGUAAUGUCAUAACUUGGUUGGUACAGGCUCCAUCAGCGGUGGAGCUCUUUAUGAUUGCUCUAUAUCUCAUGGAAAUAGUUGGUUUUUAGCUGUAUAUAGUCACCUAAUGACUUGGUUGUUUUGUAUUGUAUCAACCGAUGUAAUUUAUAUGGAAACGGCCGAAGCUGCUUGCUAUAGCUAGCUAAUGCCCGGUGUACACUAGCAGAAGAUGCCGCGCGGUGAACCACCGCUUCCCAUUUAUUUCCAAUGGAAGGAAAGUGGUGGGAGGUGGUGAAAAAUAAACUUUAUCCAACUUUAUGCAAAUCACAAGCAGCGACUGCUGGACAAUGACCAAUCAUAUCGAGUGGUUCCCAUGACGAAUUUGACGCUAUGCAACCCAACGCAAAGAUGGCUGACAAAAAUACUAGGAUGGAAGCAAAUGUAAGUGAUUAUAACAUCAUAACAAAUCAGUUGAGAAGAAUAUGUUAGUUAGUGUAGAGACAAACGAUUAUGCAUAUUUUUUUUAAAUCAUAAAGUUAAUUUACGAAAAUUGCGAUUUAGCAAGCUAGCUGACUAGCUAACAUUAGCCAGCUAACGUAAACUUUUGUACAUCGCCUUGGUCUGUACAAUUGACCUUAUUUUAGCGCCCCAAAAAAGUAAUUCUUCCAGAUCAACUGUAAUGUCAAUACCAUUGUAAAGCACAAUUUCUCCCCUUUCCAACAAAAUUAAUGACAUGACCUCCACGCUGCCCGUUUCUGCAGAAUUCAAGAAGGCAAUGAGCUCUGUCGGGUCUUUUUAAAAAUGGCGGGUGGGGAAGCGAAACGAAUACGUGAUAGUGAGAAGGAGAGCAUUCUUUUCACUCGAUCUUUCCAACUUAUCGCCUCUAAAAUGUAAAUUAAACACUAUAAAGAGUUUAUAUAAUGUGGGGCUAAACACCAUUUUCACAUCUGGACUGACCACCGCAAUCUGGAAUACAUCCGGGUGGCGAGGAGACUGAACCCUCGCCAGGCAAGGUGGGCCAUGUUCUUUACCCAUUUUGUUUUUACACUGUCCUACAGACCAGGUUCCCAGAACGCUAAGGCAGACGCACUGUCCCGGAUUGAUGACACAGAGGAGCGGUCCAUAGAUCACACUCCCAUACUUCCGGCCUCUUGCCUGGUGGCACCGGUGGUGUGGGAACUGGACACGGACAUCGAGCGGGCAUUAAGUAUAGAGCCCACUCCCCUCCAGUGUCCAGCUGGGCGUCUGUACAUUCCGUCUGCUGUCCACGACCGUUUGAUCUAUUGAGCCCACACGUCACCCUCCUCUGGUCAUCCUGGCAUCGGUCGUACAGUGUGCUGUCUUAGUGGGAAGUACUGGUGGUCCACCUUGGCCAAGGACGUGAGGGUUUAUGUUUCCUCCUGCUCAUUGUGCGCCCAGUGCAAGGCCCCUAGGCACCUGCCCAGAGGGAAGUUACAGCCCUUACUCAUUCCACAACGGCCGUGGUCGCACCUAUUGGUGGACUUCCUCACAGGGUAACACCAUGAUCCUGGUCGUUGUGGAUCGGUUCUCUAAGUCCUGCCGUCUCUUUCCUUUGCCUGGUCUCCCUAUGGCCCUACAGACUGCGGUGGCUCUGUUUACACAUGUCUUCCCGGCACUACGGGGUGCCUGAGGAUAUAGUGUCUGAUCGAGGUCCCCAGUUCACCUCCAGGGUCUGGAGGGCAUUCAUGGAACGUCUGGGGGUCUCGGACAGCCUUACCUCGGGUUUUCACCCCGAGAGUAAUGGGCAGUUGGAGAGAGUAAACCAGGAUGUGGGUAGGUUUCUGCGGUCUUAUUGCCAGGACCGGCCGGGGGAGUGGGCGGCAUUCAUCCCCUGGGCAGAGAUGGCCUAAAACUCGCUCUGCCACUCCUCCACUAACCUCUCCCCCUUCCAGUGCGUACUGGGGUAUCAGCCGGUUCUGGCACCUUGGCAUCAGAGCCGGAUCGAGGCUCCUGCGGUGGACGAAUGGUUUAAUAAGCACUCGGAGGAG